rnacentral:lncRNA from 1 species
UAGACAAGAUUCAAGGCAAAACAAUGAAAAGGGGAUGGAAAAAUACAACCUGUGUUUGGCCAGAAAUUUGGACAGAUUUUCUCUUUCCUUGCAGCAACUUUCUUCCCUUCUAAUGGCUGUUUUUCAGGUUCAGGAACAGCCUUCCAUGACUUGCUAAUUACCUUCCAAGAGAGAGGGGAAAACUAAUGAAGAACCACCACCCUUUGCUAAAAACCGAGAGCUCACUUUCAGCUGGGAGGAAAAAUCGAGAGCUCUUCUACUUAAAAUGGUAGAGGGUAAGUCUACAUAAGAAGGAAAGACCAUGCCUCUACCAAAAACGUGGGAAGACCUUAUUGUGUCAACAUCAAUACCAUCAAGUCACAAGUUGAUAGUGUUAGGUGAACCAUAUCCUCACAUUCUUCACCUUGGUUCUCCUAACACUCUCUCUUGGUUGCGAAUUUGCAUAUGGAAGAACUGUUCAUCAUCCUCGCCCACUACCUGCAAGAAAAAUUAACCAGUGUCAAUAUGUAAUAAAGAUAAGCACAAUUUAAAUUUACUUGCAGGUAGAAUUUUUGUUCCCAUAUCAGAGGGAUUCCUAUCAGUGUGAAUUUUAACAAGAUUAACUUCACCUUGAGACAGUUUCUCACGAAUAAAAUGAUACUUUACCUCAAUAUGUUUAGUUCUUUCAUGAUAAACAGGAUUUUUACAAAGCAAUAAAGCACUUUGACUAUCAGUAAACAUAACAGGUGUAUCAUGCAUGAAGUUCAAUUCUUUUAAAAUUCCUUUUAACCAAGUACAUUCUUUAACCGCCUCAGUUAUGGCAACAUAUUCUGCCUCAGUACUUGAUAAAGUAACUAAAGGCUGCAGCUGUGACUUCCAUGUUAUACAAUUGUCACCUAGUGUAAAAAAGUACGCUGUGGUAGACUUUCUGCUAUCCUUGUCACCAGCAAAAUCAGAGUCUACAUACCCCUUUAGAGUAAGUUUUUCAGAUUUCUUUUCAUACACUAGACCCAGAUUUAAUGUACCAACAAUGUACCUUAACAACCAUUUCAGACCUGCCCAAUGAGGCUUUCCUGGGUUUGACAUAAAUCUGCUCAAAAAACUUAUAGAAUAGGCUAAGUCAGGCCUGGUUGUUAUCAUAGAGAACAUGACGGAACCUAUAGCAUUAGCGUAGGGUAUGUUCCUCAUUUCUCUAAAUUCCUCCUCAGUCUUAGGAGAUUGUGCACCAGAAAGAUUCAUAUGAGCUGCUAAGGGAACGUUCACAGAUUUUGAUCCAUUCAUACCAAAUUUGGUUAUGACUUUGUUUAGAUAGGCUUCUUGGGAAAUGACUAGUCUAUUUUCAGCCCUAUCUCUCUUUAUAACCAUCCCCAAAAUCUUCUUAGCACUCCCCAAAUCUUUCAUAUCAAAUUCUGAUUUUAAAAGGUUCUUCAUCUUAGUGAUUUCAGUCUUACUUGAACUUGCUAGAAGCAUGUCAUCUACAUACAGCAACAAGUAGACCUCACAGCCCUCCUUACUGUCAUUAUAGUACAUGCAUGCAUCAUAUUCACUCCUUUUAAAGCCUAUCUUCAGUACAUAGGUAUCGAACCUUAUGUACCACUGUCUAGGGCUUUGUUUAAGCCCAUACAGAGAUCUUUCUAAUUUGCACACACAGUUAGUUUUACCUUUUACCUCAAAACCUUGAGGUUGACUCAUGUAAAUAUCCUCUUCCAAUUCCCCAUGUAGGAAAACAGUCUUGACAUCUAGUUGUUUCAGUUCCCAGUUGUACUGAACAACCAAUGCAAGAACCAGUCUGAUUGUUUUGUACUUUAUCACAGGAGACAGUCUGAUUGUUUUGUACUUUAUCACAGGAGAGAAUAUCUCAUUGUAAUCAACCCCUCCUUUUGAGUGAACCCUUUCGCUACUAAUCUGGCCUUAUACCUAGGAGGAUCACUAGGAUUAUUUCCUUCUUUCAAUUUGUAAAUCCACUUACAUUGAACUAGCCUAUGAUCCUUAGGUUUGUUAACUAACUUUCAAGUUUUAUUCUCCAUUAGAGAUUCCAUUUCUUCCCGCAUAGCUUUUAGCCAACUUUCAGAACAUUUUCCAUUAACAGUUUUUUCAUAACUAGCAGGUUCUAUCUGUUCAAGGGCUUCACCUGAAACCAAGGCAAAAUCAGUCAAGUUUAGAGAUUCAUAUCUAGGAUUUGGCCUGAUUUGCCUCCUUUCCCGAUCCCUAGUAAGCUGAUAAUCUUGAUUAGGUGGCUGAUCAUUAAAAUGUUCAACUUCAACUGGUUCAAUGUUAUCUUGAAGUUCAGUCACCUCUUCAGGUUCAGGUUCAGGUUCAAUUUCAAUUUCAUUUUCAUUUUCAUGAUGUAUAGGGUCAUUUUCAUCAUUCCCAGGUGUAGGUGAAUUUAGCCUAGUCAGCUUCACCUAAGUCUGAAUACUCUUCUCAGUUUCAGAUUUGUUAGUUUCUUCGGUUUUCUAUUUUAGACAUGGCAUCUCAGAUUCAUUAAAGACUACAUUCCUGCUGUUAAUAAUCUUAAUGCCUUGGACCCCUAAAACCCAUAACCUAUAGCCCUUCACACCCUCGGGAUACCCUAACAUCACACACUUGACAGCCCUGGGCUCAAGUUUCCCUUCAGAUUGAUGUGCAUAUGCAGCACAUCCAAACACCCUCAAGUGUUCCAGAUUUGGAGGCUCUCCCGUCCACAACUCCUGUGGGGUCUUAAACCCUAUACUGCUGGACGGAGACCUAUUAAUCAGAUAUGCUGCAGUACUUGCAGCUUCAGCCCAAAAACCUUUCGCAAGGCCAGAGCUAAUCAACAUACACCUAACUUUGUUCAUUAUGGUCCUGUUCAUUCUUUCAGCGACCCCAUUUUGUUCAGGUGUGUAUUUAACAGUUCUGUGUCUUGUUAUACCUUUCUGCUUACAGAAGUUGUCAAAUUCGCUAUUACAGAAUUCAAGCUCAUUAUCAGUUUUUAACGUUUUAAGUUUCUUAUCUAACUGAUUCUCAACAGACUUUAACCAAAUCCUGAAUUUUUCAAAAGUUUUCGACUUAGCCUUCAAAGGAUAAAUCCAAACCUUUCUUGAGUAAUCAUCCACUAAGGACAAGAAGUACUUGCUCCCACCAAAUGUGGAGUGCUUCUCCGGGCCCCAUAGAUCAGCAUGGACAUAGUCCAAUGGUCUGCUGGUCCUAUGAGAGCUAGCUUCAAAGCUCACCUUAUGAGACUUACCCAAAACACAAGUUUCACAGAAUUCCAUAGUUUCAAUGUCAUCUUUUCCAAGUAAUUUCUGAUUACUUAAAGAUUUUAGACCUUUAAACCCAAUGUGACCCAUUCUGUUAUGCCAAAGUUCAGUUUUGUCUUUACUCAUAGCAAGAAGGCUAAAAUCAAAUGGUAUUUCAGUUCUACCCUCAAGAUACUACAGCCCAUUCCUCUUGGGCCCCUUCAUAACUAUAAGAGAACCCUUCAUAAUUUUCAAAAUCUUGUUACCAGACUUGAAGGUAUAUCCCUCAUCUUUCAGAGAACCUAAGGAAAUGAGGUUCCUCUUUAAAUUUGGGACAUAUCUAACAUUUCUAAGUUGCGUGACGGCCCCAUCGUACAUCCUGAUGGCUAUGUCACCAACUCCAAUCACAUUUUGAGAAUUAUUGUCUCCCAUGUAGACCUUCCUAGGUUCAGUCUCCCUAUAGUUAUAAAACCAAGACCUAUCAGGGCACAUAUGGAAAGUGCACCCUGUGUCAAGAAUCCAAUUUUUGUCAAAUUCUUCUUCAGACACAUUCAUGACAUGCAAACUAUUAAAUUCAGUAGCAAUAGCAGCAUUAUCAACAUCAGAAUUGUUUUGGUCUUUUUGUUUCCUUUUGCAAUCAAAGCAGCCUUUCUUGAAAUGUCCUAACUUUCCACAGUGAUAACAUUUCUUACCGCUUUUAUCUUUAGAUUUGGAUCUCAUUUUAGAUUUUCCUCUCCCCUUCUUGUUAUGGAAGUUGAAUUCUUUCUUUUCAGAUCUUCCCCUAACAAAUAGACUCCCUUCACGAGAAUGAAUUCUGUUUUCUCUUUUUAAUUCAAGUUCUCUUGAUUUUAAAGCAUCAGAAACAAUAGCUUGAGUGAGAGUGUCCCUACCAUACUUUAUGGCAUUUUUCAUUUCUCUGUAAGAUUAGGGCAAAGUGUUUAGCAAUAUGACAGCUAAAUCCUCAUCAUCAAAUGUUUUAUCAUUAUGAGCUAAACUCUUAACAAUUAUGCUAAAGUCACUCAAAUUCCCCUCGACAUCCUUCCCCGGGUCCAUCUUAAAACUAAACAACUUCUCCAAUAGGUAUAUUUUGUUAGGUAAAAUUUUAGUUAAGAACAGGGCAUCUAGAGCAAUCCACAAAGCUCUAACAGUUUUAGCACUAUCAACUUGUCUCACAAUAUUGUCAGAUAGAUGCAAAAUUAUAUAACUGUAAGCAAUUUCAUUCAUGUCUUCAAUUUCAGUUGUUUUAGCUUUUAACUCAUCAGAAAAUGUAGCGGGAUCAUCAAGAGCUUUAGCAACUCUCUGUUGGACCAAAAUGGCCCUCAUUUUCUGUUUCCAUAUCAAGUAAUCCCCCUUUCCAUCGAAUUGCGAUAAUUCGACCCUCGAACCCAUUAUAGAUUCUAUAAAAGAGUGGCCUGUACUCGUGGACACAACAAAAAAGGUUUUGAAAAAUUCUUUUCCAGAUGAUCAAUAUAAAACUAAGUACCGAGUUUAAAAACAAUUUUUAGAAAUGAAGCACAAUAGUGAAAUAAUCCGUUCACGAAACACAGGUAUAUAAAGCAGGUAAAUAUGCUUCUAGGUUACAGAUUAAUCACAAGAAUUCAAUCAACAGAAUUCACAAAUAAGCAACCAAGCAAUAACCAUGCAUAAACCGGUAAGGAUACCAAACCUAACCUAACGGAGAGUUUGGAAUAAUCUUACCAAACUACUGUUGACAAACAGUAAAUAUACCACCAAGUUUCUGAACCAAAUUGUCGUAGACGUCAAGCUAGGGGCAAAAUCGUCCAACUUUUUCUGUAAAAUCUGAAACAGAAAACAAACGACAUCAGUGCGUUCAGGACGUCAAAAUAAGUAAACUGCCCGAAAAAAGCUCGCCGGAGGUCCGGCCACGCGCCGCCGCCGGUCACGCGCCCCACCACAGGGUGCGCUUCCUCCUGCUGGUCAUGGUUCCAUGGUCCAUUUCGUCGGAAAGUCAAUAGGUUGGUCGGAAAUCAAGUUUUCAGAUUCGGUCAGAAAGUGGUAAUGGUGAUUCCUUGCUGGUUUUUGAUCGAUUUUGGACUAAUAUCACUCCUCCUAGCUCUGAUACCAGUUUGUUGGGGAUCCUAGGAGUUCAAUCAACCAAAACAACAACCAAUAGACAAGAUUCAAGGCAAAACAAUGAAAAGGGGAUGGAAAAAUACAACCUGUGUUUGGCCGAAAAUUUGGACAGAUUUUCUCCUUCCUUGCAGCAGCUUUCUUCCCUUCUAAUGGCUGUUUUUCAGGCUCAGGAACAGCCUUCCAUGACUUGCUAAUUACCUUCCAAGAGAGAGGGGAAAACCAAUGAAGAACCACCACCCUUUGCUAAAAACCGAGAGCUCACUUUCAGCUGGGAGGAAAAACCGAGAGCUCUUCUACUUAAAAUGGUAGAGGGUAAGUCUACAUAAGAAGGAAAGACCAUGCCUCUGCCAAAAACGUGGGAAGACCUUAUUGUGUCAACAUCAAUACCAUCAAGUCACAAGUUGAUAGUGUUAGGUGAA